GUGAGGAAUAUUGCGCAAUGGAGGCAACUCUGACGCAGCCAUGCCGCGUGCAGGAAGAAGGCGCUACGCGUUGUAAACUGCUUUUAACCGGGAAGAAACCCCAGGACGUGUCCUGGGUUGACGGUACCGGAGGAAUAAGCACCGGCUAACUUCGUGCCAGCAGCCGCGGUAAUACGAAGGGUGCAAGCGUUAUCCGGAUUCAUUGGGUUUAAAGGGUGCGUAGGCGGAGCGUUAAGUCAGUGGUGAAAUCCUGCAGCUUAACUGUAGACUUGCCAUUGAUACUGGCGCUCUUGAGUGCGCUUGAAGUGGGCGGAAUGUGCCGUGUAGCGGUGAAAUGCUUAGAUAUGGCACAGAACACCAAUUGCGAAGGCAGCUCACUAAGGCGAUACUGACGCUGAGGCACGAAAGCGUGGGGAUCGAACAGGAUUAGAUACCCGAGUAGUCC
rnacentral:rRNA from 1 species